rnacentral:tRNA from 1 species
UGCCCUGUGGUGUAACUGGCAACAUCUCGCUCUUUGAAAGCGAAGUCUCUAGGUUCGAAUCCUAGCGGGGCAG